GUUGACGAAGAGGUAACAUUAUUGUAAUCGUGUGUUAGUUGAUAUGUAGCCUCCUUUAGUGACUGUAUGCUUAUACGUCUUGCCACAGGGAACAAAAAUACAAACUACUCUUUUCAACAAAGACGUACACAGUUGGAAUGAAUGUUUUAUCCUAAAUCAAAGAUACUACAUUAUAAAUGGACAAGUAAACGUUGCUAAAUCCAAGUUCUUAUCUGUGCAUAAGGGCCUUGAAGUCAUGUUUAAUAACAACGCAGAGAUGAUCGAGUGCCACAGUCAGUUUAUGACUCAACAGUUCUCGAAUGGUUUUAUUUCCAUCGAAGAAGCCGAAAAGAUCACUACUGGCACUUUCUUUGAUGCGGUUUGUAUUUUAGUUAAAGUAAAAGCACUAAAUAGAGAUGGACGAACCAAAAGGCGAGAAGUCAUAGUUACAAACGAAAGGUAUGAUCGUAAAAUAAUGACUUUGUGGGGAGACUUAGUUGAAAUUGACGGAGAAUUGUUAUAGAACAUUGAAAAUACCAAACCUGUGCUUUCUUUUUGUGAUGUUAAAUGCUCUAUUUACAAAGGUAUAAUUAAACCUGCAUUACAUAUUUGUAUCAAUAUUUUAGGAACUCUGAAUUUAUCACUAAAUUUAUCAAACGUAUAAAAACAGGGGAUUUCGUCCUUUCCAGGACUCCUAU